rnacentral:rRNA from 1 species
AGCGAACGCUGGCGGCAGGCCUAAUACAUGCAAGUCGAACGCACCUUCGGGUGAGUGGCGGACGGGUGAGUAACGCGUGGGAACGUGCCCUUUGGUUCGGAACAACACAGGGAAACUUGUGCUAAUACCGAAUGUGCCCUUCGGGGAAGGAUUUAUCGCCAUUGGAGCGGCCCGCGUUGGAUUAGGUAGUUGGUGGGGUAAAAGACCUACCAAGCCUACGAUCCAUAGCUGGUCUGAGAGGAUGACCAGCCACACUGGGACUGAGACACGGCCCAGACUCCUACGGGAGGCGGCAGUGGGGAA